GUUCAGGAAGAGAAACGUCAAGCCCUUGCUGCAGUUAAUAUAGAUGCUGCCAAGGAUGCCAUUGCUACUGCUGAGGUCUCUAGGAAGACUAUUCCAACUUACCUUGAAUCAAGGAAUCCAAUAUUUAAGUCUCUAUGAACUAUGGAAGGAAGUUGCAUUACGUCAGAGAGAGGUAUUUACAACAUCAAAUACGUAACAUUUAUGAUCGUGAACAUAAGGAAGUCCGUUGCCACAUUUUUCAGUCAGGUUAUGGUAGCAAUAGGAGAAAAUACCGCGGGCCCUGGUGUGGUG